CGAAUUCUAAAUGUGACUUUUUACCGCAGUGACAUCUUUUCUUGAAAAACAGGAGCAAUUGAGGAAAUUUGAAGAUUGUUUCUGUCCCGAAGUGGAGGCUGCACGUGGCUAUCAUGGCUAUAAGCAAAGUAGUGAAGGGAAAAGGAUGUUGGCUGUCAUUCCGUCCAACACGCCCCCCCUCUCCCAAAAAGAGGGGGGGAAACAGCAGGUGGUGCAGCAGAAGAGUCAGGACGUUGGAAAUGACCGCUCGGGAUAAGGAGAGCAGAAAUUAGAAAAAGUGUCAGGGCUCUGGAUAAAGAUGGACUCCGGGGGGGAGACGAGCGCCCGGUGACUCAGAAGACCUCCCGAGGUGACAUGGAGCUGCUUCUUCACCGGGGUCGUGUCCGCAGUCUGUGGGCGGACGACUCCGACCGACCCUAAAC